UUUAGAAAACAGUAAUUUCAUGAAAAUCCUUUUAUAAAAUAUAUGGCUCAGUUUUAAACCCCUUUUGAAAAUAAUCUUUUAACAGUUGCAAACUAAUUCCAGCCAUCAGUAUCACUAUGUACAGAAACCCGCCCCUCGGGCAAUAUCUGCGUUCCUGGUCAGCCAUUCGGGCCCCAAUACUCAAUGAUCAGAUAGCACCAGCAAAUGCAGAUAAAUAUCUCAAGAAAUAUCACAAACAACAAAUAAUGAACAUAUGCAUAAAUGCAAUACAUAUGAUGGUACAUUCCAAUACCCACUGCGGCGUGCAACCCGAGCUAUCCAUAUUUAUUUAUCAUCGACGGCGCUUACUGGAGGUGUGUACAAACUCCGGAGGGGCUCCUACAGCCCAAGCGCAAUAUAUUGGUCAAUCAUUGUUACUUGACCAGUCAGCCAAUGUUACCUGACCAAUUUAUAUCAUACAGUGCCAUUGUUACCACUGUUCCAAGUAUAUAUUUCAGCGUCAUUGUUACCACUGUUUCAAGUAUAACAUAUAAUAUCAUUAUUACCACUGUUUCAAGUAUAUAUUAUAGUGUCAUUGUUACCACUGUUUCAAGUCACUUUAUUAU
rnacentral:lncRNA from 1 species